rnacentral:rRNA from 1 species
UACAGAGGGGGCAAGCGUUGUUCGGAAUUACUGGGCGUAAAGGGCGCGUAGGCGGCCUUCUAAGUCGAACGUGAAAUCCCCGGGCCCAACCCGGGAACUGCGUCCGAUACUGGGAGGCUUGAAUCCGGGAGAGGGAUGUGGAAUUCCAGGUGUAGCGGUGAAAUGCGUAGAUAUCUGGAGGAACACCGGUGGCGAAGGCGGCAUCCUGGACCGGUAUUGACGCUGAUGCGCGAAAGCCAGGGGAGCAAACGGG